GAGAGCCUUGGAGGAGCACUGCUGAAGAAGCAGGAGCUACACUGCUGUGAAGAGCUGUAUGUGAGGAAACCACCCAGAGGGUGUGUGUAACACAAGUGAUGCCAUGAUCAAUGUGACAGUUGGACACAAAGAUCCCAUCUCCACAGGUGGGCAGUGAAAUCCCAGCCUGUAAUGAACAAAUUUAUUGCACACAGUAGCAAGACUGUUACUUGAGAUUGUGAAACACUUCCACACUGACACAGAUGAAAAUGACUCUUAAUUCUUGUGGAGGGAGAACAAGAGGAGAAAUAGGUGACCACAGAAACCUGGCAAGCAUGAAAAUGAUCCUUGGCUUUCUCAGUGGGACUGAAAAUUCAAAAAGGGACCAAGGAAGCAUGGAAGAAAUAACCCUAGAAAUGCAUCUUCACUUACCAAAUGUUACUGCGCCAACUUAAGAAAUCUUUGCACUGGCAAAAGAGCUCUGUUUCUCCAGAAAAGGUCUCCACUUCUCUGAAUGACUCAAGGGUUCACUUGUAACUGAGGGAAAACCUCCUGUGGUGACCAGUUCUGAGCACUUUAUCACCAGCUCUAGGAACUUCCCAUAAUUAUGCUCUGCAGGUAAAUUACCAUCAACACAACAAACACAGCCAGACAUUAAACAUGAACUGAGAAGCAUCUGGAAUCUUUGAAGAGACAGAAAAUGUAAUGUGAUUGGAGUUGCUCUGAAGAUAGCUAUGAAAGUACUUCCUGUUUGAGAGGAUUUUGCCCACACGUUGUCCCAAGAAUAACACCAAACAAUAACUGACGUUUCUGCAGGGUCUUUGGAACAAGGAGCUUACAGAACAGAAGUGGAAUUGUUUCCAGUUACCCAAGUUUCUUUAUCAUUUAUGAUCAGGGCCUCAAAAUCAACGCUCCAGCUUGAAGCUGUGCCUCUUGGCAGGGCAGCAUGGCAUUCAUGUCACCUGUGGCAAAAGUUGGCAAGACUGUGCCUGACAGACAAGAUGCCCAUGAUCAUUCACCUUCUGUGAUUUAAUCCCUUGGGGCUGGGGCAGGGAGAGUUGCUUCACUUCCUGUGCUUUUCACACAGGAGUUAAAGGCCAUAAGAGUAAGACUCAAAUCCAGCUUCUUCCUCCAUCUCUUCCCAGCAACCAAAUUUCAAGUCUGAGGCACACUCCUGUGGAAUGCUGUAUCUGUUUGAGAGCAAGUUAAUUACAUGCACGUUAGAAAUGUGAGCAAAUUAAAAUCCUCUUGCUUAAUAUAUUUGUCCUCUGUGUUGAAUUUCCUGAGAGAAAAUGGACAAUUAAAACUGCACAGAAUUCCUUAGGAACUGCCAGUAGCCGUGUGAGAGCCAGCACAUGGAUGUGAGGAGGCAGCCAGAAGGAAUAAUUCCUUGUGAAGGAAUAAUUGAAAGGAGUAAC